GAUGAACGCUGGCGGCGUGCCUAAUACAUGCAAGUCGAGCGAACAGACGAGGAGCUUGCUCCUUCGACGUUAGCGGCGGACGGGUGAGUAACACGUAGGUAACCUACCUAUAAGACUGGGAUAACUUCGGGAAACCGGAGCUAAUACCGGAUAAUAUUUCGAACCGCAUGGUUCGAUAGUGAAAGAUGGCUUUGCUAUCACUUAUAGAUGGACCUGCGCCGUAUUAGCUAGUUGGUAAGGUAACGGCUUACCAAGGCAACGAUACGUAGCCGACCUGAGAGGGUGAUCGGCCACACUGGAACUGAGACACGGUCCAGACUCCUACGGGAGGCAGCAGUAGGGAAUCUUCCGCAAUGGGCGAAAGCCUGACGGAGCAACGCCGCGUGAGUGAUGAAGGUCUUCGGAUCGUAAAACUCUGUUAUUAGGGAAGAACAAACGUGUAAGUAACUGUGCACGUCUUGACGGGACCUAAUCAGAAAGCCACGGCUAACUACG
rnacentral:rRNA from 1 species